AGCAUACACUCUUAAGUCUGAACAAAAGAAAUAGAGAAAAGGGGGUGAGAAAGUCACCGAGGGAAGAAGAGAAGAAGAUGACGGCACUGGCAAAGCAAAGAGAAGCCGUCGCCGCUGUCGAGUUAUAGAGGCAGAGGGAGAGACGAAUAAGGAGAGAGAUGGAUAAAGAGAAGGCAGCACCACUAUCGUCGCUGCUGGGACUCAUCGCUGGAGUUACGGUCAUCGCCGCUGAAGGGGCCGCGUCGGACGGAGAUAUUGCCAUCGCUGAAGCUCACCGCUGGUGCAACCCGAAGCUAUCUCCGCCUUUACUCUGCUCCACUGCGGCUGACCCCUACCUCUCCCCUAUUAGGCUUGCUUGGGGAUUAUUUUCCUAAACGCCGAUCAUGGCUCAUUUUGGGCCAUGACAAGAACUCUCCUCCAUAAUACAUAUCAUUACAUGUGGUCCUGCAGCCUCACUGUAUUGUAAUGGAGUGUGAUUGCACUGUUUUUCUUUUCUUUCUUUUAUUUGAAUAAAGUGCUUGUUUUUAUUUU
rnacentral:lncRNA from 1 species